CCCUUAGAUGUUCUGGGCCGCACGCGCGCUACACUGACGAAUGCAACGAGCUUAUAACCUUGGCCGAAAGGUCUGGGUAAUCUCCAAAUUUCGUCGUGAUGGGGAUAGAUUAUUGCAAUUAUUAAUCUUCAACGAGGAAUGCCUAGUAAGCGCAAGUCAUCAGCUUGCGUUGAUUACGUCCCUGCCCUUUGUACACACCGCCCGCCGCUCCUACCGAUUGAAUGGUCCGGUGAAGCGUUCGGACCGUGGCCUUUGGACGGUUCGCCGUCUGUUGGCUGCGGGAAGUUCGUUAAACCUUAUCAUUUAGAGGAAGGAGAANUCGUANCA
rnacentral:rRNA from 1 species